ACUACGAGUUUGAUCAUGGCUCAGGAUGAACGCUGGCGGCGUGCCUAAUACAUGCAAGUCGAACGGGGAUUUCAGCAAUGGGAUCCUAGUGGCGAACGGGUGAGUAACGCGUUGGUGACCUGCCCCGAAGAGAGGGAUAACAGACCGAAAGGUUUGCUAAUACCGCAUAAGCUCGAGCUAGUCAGAGAGGCUUGAGGAAAGGCCGAAAGGCGCUUUGGGAGGGGCCUGCGUCCCAUCAGCUAGUUGGCGAGGUAAAAGCUCACCAAGGCGAUGACGGGUAGGGGACCUGAGAGGGUGACCCCCCACAAUGGAACUGAAACACGGUCCAUACACCUACGGGUGGCAGCAGUAGGGAAUAUUGGUUAAUGGGCGAAAGCCUGACCCAGCAACGCCGCGUGCGCGAUGAAGGCCUUCGGGUUGUAAAGCGCUUUUAAGUGGGAUGAGGAAGGACAGUACCACUAGAAUAAGUCUCGGCUAACUACGUG
rnacentral:rRNA from 1 species